CUACAGGCUGGAAUGGGCUCA
rnacentral:miRNA from 1 species